UACGUAGGGUGCAAGCGUUGUCCGGAAUUAUUGGGCGUAAAGGGCGCGUAGGCGGCUUGGCAAGUGGAAGGUGAAAUCCCUCGGCUUAACCGAGGAACUGCCCUCCAAACUGCUUUGCUUGAGGCCGGGAGAGGCGAGUGGAAUUCCCAGUGUAGCGGUGAAAUGCGUAGAUAUUGGGAGGAACACCAGUGGCGAAGGCGGCUCGCUGGACCGGUUCUGACGCUGAGGCGCGAAAGCGUGGGGAGCAAACGGG
rnacentral:rRNA from 1 species